rnacentral:rRNA from 1 species
UACGGAGGGAGCUAGCGUUGUUCGGAAUUACUGGGCGUAAAGCGCACGUAGGCGGCUUUGUAAGUUAGAGGUGAAAGCCCGGGGCUCAACUCCGGAACUGCCUUUAAGACUGCAUCGCUUGAAUCCAGGAGAGGUGAGUGGAAUUCCGAGUGUAGAGGUGAAAUUCGUAGAUAUUCGGAAGGAACACCAGUGGGCGAAGGCGGCUCA